rnacentral:misc_RNA from 1 species
UCCUGGUUAACCCAGGCAGUCUCAUUAGAGUUCCCACCUUAUAUGUUGGCAACUAAUGAUAAGGGUUGCGCUCGUUGCGGGACUUAACCCAACACCUCACGGCACGAGCUGACGACAGCCAUGCAGCACCUGUGCAGCGGCUCCGAAGAGAGGCGCCAUUUCUGGCGCUGUCCACUGCAUGUCAAGCCUGGGUAAGGUUUUUCGCGUUGCAUCGAAUUAAACCACAUGCUCCACUGCUUGUGCGGGUCCCCGUCAAUUCUUUUGAGUUUCACCCUUGCGAGCGUACUCCCCAGGCGGUAUACUUAUCGCGUUAGCUUCGGCACAACCGGGGUUGAGUCCGGUUACACCAAGUAUACAUCGUUUACGGCAAGGACUAC